rnacentral:sRNA from 1 species
UGAAGAUUCGGUUAUGGUAGGCGACUGC